UCGAAAUCGCCGCAUCGGCUGUGCGUUCCCGCACGCUCUUGCGCCUUUUCCCCACACACCUGUGCACCCCUCGGGAGCCCCUCGUCUGGGAUCCCGCAUUUUCUUCAUUUACUCAAUGUCAAGAAUGUAAUUUCAGUGUGUAACACAUAA
rnacentral:misc_RNA from 1 species